AAUUAAUCAAAUAGUUCGACAAUAUGCAAGCAAUUUCCAUUUAAACUAAAAAUCAAACUACUUCAGUUCACCAUUCCCAUUAAAAAGAAAUGAUCAAUAUUAACUACAGUAUUAACUAAAUGCUACAGAUUUAACAACUGUUCAAAAAAAAAAAAAAUUAACACUUUUCAAUCAAGAAUCCCUAUUAUUAAAUCCUUAACUUGGACUUAAGAAUUCAAGAGAGGAAUGGGUUGUACGCGUUCAAAAUUAGACCCACUUGCAGUGAACUAAUUUCAUAAAUGGUAAAAUUAAUCCAUUAGAUUACCUUGAAGGUUCGUUCAUCUACGUACUCAGAUAACUAUUUCUUAUCCUUAAAGGAUGAUGUCCAUUGAGAAGGAGGUGAAACCCACGGGCUCCAAUCGCUAAUGUUGAAGAUCCAAUCAAGAGUUUAAUGAUUGAGAUCACUACGGCAGGGAAUGAGAGAACAAUGAGAGAGAGACGUUGAAUUGGGGGAGGGAAGAGAGAAAGUGUGUGUUUUUUUUUCUUUUUGAUUUAUAUUUAAUUCCA
rnacentral:lncRNA from 1 species